rnacentral:rRNA from 1 species
GAUUCCCCCAGUAGCGGCGAGCGAACGGGGAGGAGCCCAGAGCCUGAAUCAGUGUGUGUGUUAGUGGAAGCGUCUGGAAAGGCGCGCGAUACAGGGUGACAGCCCCGUACACAAAAAUGCACAUGCUGUGAGCUCGAUGAGUAGGGCGGGACACGUGGUAUCCUGUCUGAAUAUGGGGGGACCAUCCUCCAAGGCUAAAUACUCCUGACUGACCGAUAGUGAACCAGUACCGUGAGGGAAAGGCGAAAAGAACCCCGGCGAGGGGAGUGAAAAAGAACCUGAAACCGUGUACGUACAAGCAGUGGGAGCACGCUUAGGCGUGUGACUGCGUACCUUUUGUAUAAUGGGUCAGCGACUUAUAUUCUGUAGCAAGGUUAACCGAAUAGGGGAGCCGAAGGGAAACCGAGUCUUAACUGGGCGUUAAGUUGCAGGGUAUAGACCCGAAACCCGGUGAUCUAGCCAUGGGCAGGUUGAAGGUUGGGUAACACUAACUGGAGGACCGAACCGACUAAUGUUGAAAAAUUAGCGGAUGACUUGUGGCUGGGGGUGAAAGGCCAAUCAAACCGGGAGAUAGCUGGUUCUCCCCGAAAGCU